CGUACAGCAAAAUUCGUUAUCGUGACAGGGCUACGUGACACACAAGCAUACAUGAGCAAACUGCAUUAUGAAGAGAUAGUUCAGGAUUCUCUUCGACAUGAGGUUUGGUUAAAAAGCUUAAAAAUUUAAAUCUUACCUGCAUUAGAUAGCUCUUGAGAUUUUCAUUGAGCAUAAAUCCAUAUUUGUUCAUUUUACAGGUCUGACCAAUAUUUGUCCAAUGUCAAAAAAGGUGCUAAGAACAGAGAUGUAAAGUAUUUAUGAUGCUUCUCUGUGCAUAACUACCCAAUAUGAACAUGACGGUUUGAAGCUUCAUGAAAUAUCAUCUGCAAAAGAAAAUUACAAGUUGUUCUUUUGAUGGUGGGAGUCCACUUUGACCCUGGCUCCUCUGCCUUCCAUGACCAAUUAUCUGGUGAAGACCUCAAGAGAGUUACCUAGUACAGGUAAGAUUUUAACUGCGCGACACGUAAAUAAUCCUAAAAUACCCCUUCAAUACUAACAAAAUCCCUACAUCCCACUGUAACUGUAACAGCUGGAUAACUUCUGCAGUGGGUGCAAAUUUCUCGUCUUAAUUUAGAGCUCAGGUGAGUUAAAAAACGUGAAAAAUCUGUUUAUUUGGUUAACAGAAAAUAAAAUCCAGAAAUGUGUCACAGGGGUGAGUCGUACCUUCUAACAGAAGGCUAAAAGGAAAAUUUUUGGAUGCACCAACAAGCUCAAUUUUCUAGAAUCACUGUUUUCUAGAAAACAAAAAAAGCGCGUACACACACACACACAGUUGAGAAUUUUUCUAUGGAACUUAACUCCAUAUUAUUCAAAUUUGUGUGAGGGUUAACUAAACGUGAGUCCUCGUGCAGCAGAGUGCCUAGAAACAGAUCUGGGCAUUUACAUCUAUAUGGUCUUUGAAACAUUUUACCAGGAGUGGCAACUAAUCUGUCCACAUCCUUAUAUUUGGGAUAACAAUACAGAUCAAGCGUAUGUCAGCAUAAGUUCAAUUCACAGCAGCUCUUGGAAUAACAGCGGCUCGUUCUGCUAAAAAGGCAAACAAACAACAACAACAAAAAAGUCAGACCUGCGCAAAUUUGCAAUCCCAUUUUCUUGUUAGUGCCACACAGAAGGGUGAGCAGAA